rnacentral:rRNA from 1 species
AAAACGGAGAGUUUGAUCCUGGCUCAGGAUGAACGCUGGCGGUAUGCUUAACACAUGCAAGUCGAACGAAAUCUUCGGAUUUAGUGGCGGACGGGUGAGUAACGCGUGAGAAUCUGGCUCUAGGUC